UUUGCCCUGACCGAUGAAUGUUCAACAUUGGGAUUUGUUAAAUAAUUUCAGUGUAUUAGUUAACGCGUUAAACAUUCCGCCUGGGGACUAUGAUCGCAAGAUUGAAACUCAAAGGAAUUGGCGGAGAUCCGUACAAGCGGUGGAGCAUGUGGUUUAAUCCGAUAAUCCGCGUAAAAUCUUACCAAUUUUUGAUUAUAGAGGUUAUAAAAAUUUAGAAUUUUUAUGAAAAAAACAUAAAGUUUUUUAUCUCUUGCAGGUGU
rnacentral:rRNA from 1 species